rnacentral:rRNA from 1 species
UACGGAGGAUGCAAGCGUUAUCCGGAAUGAUUGGGCGUAAAGCGUCCGCAGGUGGCUGUGUAAGUCUGCUGUCAAAGAGCGAAGCUCAACUUCGUAAAGGCAGUGGAAACUACACGGCUAGAGUGCGUUCGGGGCAGAGGGAAUUCCUGGUGUAGCGGUGAAAUGCGUAGAGAUCAGGAAGAACACCGGUGGCGAAGGCGCUCUGCUAGGCCGCAACUGACACUGAGGGACGAAAGCUAGGGGGGCGAAUGGG